rnacentral:lncRNA from 1 species
AUGAUGGAAACAGACUUUCAAGGGCAUCACGUCCCUGCUCUGCGGGUUAUGGUUUGCCUGCCUUCUGCUGAGUUGGACAGUCAGAUGGAGAGUUCAAAAUUGCAGUUGCCAGAAGAAAUGAGCAGUAAAGGGUUUGGACUGUAUGAGGAGCACCAUUAUGUUCACAAACUGUUGUGCAGAGCAGACUUCGUGCUAAAUACUGAAGUUGUUGUCAGCACAGCAUGUAAGAAAAAGGGGCUCUUGAAGAGAAUGUCUGCCACCUCAUCUGACUUCUCAUCACUUUGCAGAGCCCCUGAAGAUCUCAGCUUUACGAAUGUAACACCAGUGAGGUACUGUGAGGUAAGAAAUUCCUAG